ensembl:lncRNA novel transcript
GGGGCGGCAGCCUGAGAGCCAUGGAGCCGCUGGGUGCAACACUGUCCUGCCCGUGUGCAUGGAGCUGCUUACGUUGCCUGCACUGCUGCUGUCCUGUUCCCACAACUUCUGCAAACAGUGCCUGGAGCUGAUCUUGGUUUACCAGAAUUGCACCCAGGUCCAGGGAUGGUUCUGUUGUCCAGUGUGUAGGAAAUCACCACCAUAGCUCUGAGUAUGUGUUUAUCUCACCAUUCUUCGCCCACUGGUUUUAGACGCUACUGGCAUUUGCUGCCUCUCCGACGACUGAGCUUCUCGUGCACAGCUCCUUCCUCAUCUUCCCUCCCUGAGCAGGACAUUUAUUUGAAGGGCAGGGGAACAAAUGGAUUGCAGGGAAACAUCCUGGCUGAAAAUAUCCUGGAAAAGCUUAAGGAAGUACUUGAGACACUUCACACCGGGGAGCAAAACCAGCUCGCUCAGAUGUGUGAAAAGCGU